rnacentral:lncRNA from 1 species
UUACUUUAAAGGACUUCAUUUCUGAGAUUUCAAAAUACCCCUUGAUGUAUUGAAAAGUUAAUAGGAACCAAUUCCCUCUCCUAUCAAUAUGAUGAUCUUCUGAUCAUGGAACUUCUAUGUUCUGAACAAGCAAUAUCUUCCACAUGAGCUCCUGUUGCAAGACUAUUUAGAAUUGCUGUCAAAGUGUUCAGACCAGAGAGAUUCAG